AGGGAGUUUGAUCCUGGCUCAGGAUGAACGCUGGCGGCGUGCUUAACACAUGCAAGUCGAACGGAACACCGUUUUUCGGAAUGGUGUUUAGUGGCGGACGGGUGAGUAACGCGUGGGUAACCUGCCUCAGACUGGGGGAUAACGGUUGGAAACGACCGCUAAUACCGCAUAAGCCCACAGUACCGCAUGGUACAGAGGGAAAAGAUUUUAUCGGUUUGAGAUGGACCCGCGUCUGAUUAGCCAGUUGGUGGGGUAACGGCCUACCAAAGCUACGAUCAGUAGCCGACCUGAGAGGGUGAUCGGCCACAUUGGGACUGAGACACGGCCCAAACUCCUACGGGAGGCAGCAGUGGGGAAUAUUGCGCAAUGGGGGAAACCCUGACGCAGCAACGCCGCGUGAGUGAAGAAGUAUUUCGGUAUGUAAAGCUCUAUCAGCAGGGACGAAAAUGACGGUACCUGCAGAAGAAGUCCCGGCUAACUACGUGCCAGCAGCCGCGGUAAUACGUAGGGGACAAGCGUUAUCCGGAUUUACUGGGUGUAAAGGGAGCGUAGGCGGCAAAGCAAGUCAGAAGUGAAAGCCCGCGGCUCAACUGCGGGACUGCUUUUGAAACUGUUUAGCUAGAGUACUGGAGGGGCAAGCGGAAUUCCUGGUGUAGCGGUGAAAUGCGUAGAUAUCAGGAAGAACACCGGAGGCGAAGGCGGCUUGCUGGACAGAUACUGACGCUGAGGCUCGAAGGCGUGGGGAGCAAACAGGAUUAGAUACCCUGGUAGUCCCCU
rnacentral:rRNA from 1 species